AUGCUUUUCAGCAUCUACAUGAAACUGCUGGGAGAGGUUAUCCAGACUUUUAGAGUUCGGUGCCACCUCUACGCAGAUGACACCCAACUCUGUUACUCUUUUCCACCGAAAUCCAAGGAAGCCCCUCGGAUACUGGACCAGUGCUUGGCUGCUCUGAUGGGCUGGAUGAGGGCAAACAAACUGAAGCUCAAUCCCAAAAAGACAGAGGUCCUCCAGCUUCCAGUCAGCAGUUGUUGAAAGAAUGAGGGCAUGUUUAAUGCAUUGUGCAAGCAUUGAAUGGAGUCAAAGAUUAACCCAGGAACAGCUGUAAACUAUUGGUAAAAAGUAAGUGACAAAAGGAAUGUUCAACAUAGUCUUGUAAGAUUUACAUUUGUGGACUUCUUCCUUCCUUUAUUUUUUAUUUGUUUUGCAUCCCUACAUGAUUCAUGCCCAGUUUUGUCAUUUUUUUUACCUGGUAGUACAAAAUGUAAUUUUAAAAAUGGCCAUUUGCUUGAAUGCAUUACCUUAACUAAGGCAUGUUAUAGUAUAUUUUUCAUGCACUUGAAAUGUAUGCAUUCUUCUAUGCAUACUUUUGAAAUGUGCAUCUAUCUAUCUAUCUCUAUCAAAUUGAGGAUUUUUGUUAGACCCAAAUAGAAUAGAGCCAUUGAUUCUGUGGGUGCAAUCUUCAUCUAGAUCAGUGACUCCCAACCUUUGGGCCUCCAGGUAUUUUGGACUUCAGCGCCCACAUUUCCUAACAGCUGGUAAGAUGGCUAAAAAUUCAGGGAAUUUUAAGUCCAAAACAUCUGGAGGACCAAAGGUAGGAAACCACUGAUCUAGACUCACAAUUCAGCAAUUGAUUUAGAGAGCCCUGUGUAUUUGGGACUAAUCAAGAUAACACCAAAUAUUAUGACUAUUUAGAAUACAGCCAGCAAAGUGCUGAUCAGGAUAAACUGAUGAUCUGAAAUGGAAUUGCUUACACAUCUCUUCCAUUGUGCUUUGAAAGCACUAGUAAAAUCCUAGAAUUGUGUUGGCUAUCCCUGUCUAUGUUGCAAAUUUGUGGAUAGAUGCUGAAUGAUAUAUAUUAACUUGAAUUGACCAGAUAAAGCAGGCACAUAUCCUAUCUUACAUUAAACAGAUAAAAAAGAGCAGAUGGAGUACAAUUUACUAGAUUGUUUAAUCACAAAGGCAACUUGCUUAUACAAUGUAAGUUGAUAAUGAGGUUCCUAUAGUGAAUGUGUUGAUGGCUGCACUAUAUCUUACAGCUAGAAAUGUAAGCCUUGAUUAAAUGAUACAUUGAAAGUUUGUUUGGUAAAGGGAUAACUUUCCUGAACACAGACUGUUCUCAUGACCUGAAUACUUUUUAGACAACCUUAACUCUCUCCACCUUAGCUUGCCAAAUUACCAUCUUGUCAUUUACUAUAGCUUUGUCCAUUUGUCAGAAAAAAUUAAUUUGAUUCCCUAUAUAUAGCACAUGUUUCCUUGGCAACUAUCUGUUAUGACCUGCAAAUAUGAAGGCAUUUACUGCCUAUUUGUGGGAGUCCUAAGGAUCAUCUGCUUCAAUUUCUCCCUCUAUUUGGCAGAAGAUGGAAAGGAAAUGUGAAAAAUGUAUUGCUUGACUGUGGUGGUAGAAGUAUUCUGAAAGCUGUAGUACACAAACGUAACUUUUCCUAGGGUUGUUGUGUGUUUUCUGGGCUGUAUGGCCAUGUUCUAGAAGUAUUCUCUCCUGACAUUUCACCCACAUCUAUGGCAGGCACCCUCAGAGGUUGUAAGAUAAUAAUAGUUGAAACACUUUUUUGGUUUUGCACUCUGAAGUGCCCUUUAAAUACUUCACAAUUUUAAAUGGGCAAGAGUCCGUGUCAGUCUGUUUCUCUGCCACUAUUUGCCUAUUUUCUAUGGACUAGUUCUCACUGAUAUCAUGGCCUCCAUCAGAAGGGGUAUAUCAGAUCACUUCCAGUUUACAUGACUUUUUAUUCAAGCCCACUGCUCUCACACAGGGAUAAAACAUUAGCUAAACAAUUCAACAAUGCAUCAGUGAAAAUAAAUGAAGUAUGGGAUACUAUAAAAUAAAAGUAAAUGGCCCCAGUAUAAGGACUUCAUAGGUAGUUGCAGGAUGAGGGGCUCUGGAGGGGAUAAGUUGGAAAAGCUAGAAUUCAAAGCAGCAAGCAAAAAAUUAAAUAAAACAAUAGAAAGAAGAACCUGAGAAAAUGUGCCUUACUACUUCUAAGCCACUCUCCAACUUUCUUUUGGAAAGGGUCCACUUCCUACUAUAUCUAAAACCCCCUUCUCUCUUUCAACUAGGAAGGAUCACAGACAAGC
ensembl:lncRNA